rnacentral:rRNA from 1 species
UGGGGAAUUUUGGACAAUGGGGGCAACCCUGAUCCAGCAAUGCCGCGUGAGUGAAGAAGGCCUUCGGGUUGUAAAGCUCUUUUGUCCGGGAAGAAAUCCCAUCUGUUAAUACCGGGUGGGGAUGACGGUACUGGAAGAAUAAGCACCGGCUAACUACGUGCCAGCAGCCGCGGUAAUACGUAGGGUGCAAGCGUUAAUCGGAAUUACUGGGCGUAAAGCGUGCGCAGGCGGUUGUGCAAGACCGAUGUGAAAUCCCCGGGCUCAACCUGGGAACUGCAUUGGUGACUGCACGGCUAGAGUGUGUCAGAGGGGGGUAGAAUUCCACGUGUAGCAGUGAAAUGCGUAGAGAUGUGGAGGAAUACCGAUGGCGAAGGCAGCCCCCUGGGAUAACACUGACGCUCAUGCACGAAAGCGUGGGGAGCAAACAGG